rnacentral:rRNA from 1 species
UAAUACGGAGGGGGCGAGCGUUAUUCGGAAUUAUUGGGCGUAAAGGGCGCGUAGGCGGCUGUGUAAGUCAAAGGUGAAAUCCCUCAGCUCAACUGAGGAACUGCCUUUGAAACUGCACAGCUUGAGGCCGGGAGGGGGUGGCGGAAUUCCCAGUGUAGCGGUGAAAUGCGUAGAUAUUGGGAGGAACACCAGUGGCGAAGGCGGCCACCUGGACCGGUUCUGACGCUGAUGCGCGAAAGCGUGGGUAGCAAACAGGAUUAGAUACCCUGGUAGUCCACGCUGUAAACGAUGGGUACUCGGUGUCGUGGGUAUCGACCCCUACGGUGCCUUAGCUAACGCGUUAAGUACCCCGCCUGGGGAGUACGGUCGCAAGGCUG